rnacentral:rRNA from 1 species
UGAGUAACACGUGGGCAAUCUGCCCUGCACUCUGYAACAAGYCCCUGGAAACGGGRUCUAAUACCGGAUACUGACCUGCCAAGGCAUCUUGGCGGGUCGAAAGCUCCGGCGGUGCAGGAUGAGCCCGCGGCCUAUCAGCUUGUUGGUGAGGUAAUGGCUCACCAAGGCGACGACGGGUAGCCGGCCUGAGAGGGCGACCGGCCACACUGGGACUGAGACACGGCCCAGACUCCUAYGGGAGGCAGCAGUGGGGAAUAUUGCACAAUGGGCGAAAGCCUGAUGCAGCGACGCCGCGUGAGGGAUGACGGCCUUCGGGUUGUAAACCUCUUUCAGCAGGGAAGAAGCGAAAGUGACGGUACCUGCAGAAGAAGCGCCGGCUAACUACGUGCCAGCAGCCGCGGUAAUACGUAGGGCGCAAGCGUUGUCCGGAAUUAUUGGGCGUAAAGAGCUCGUAGGCGGCUUGUCGCGUCGGUUGUGAAAGCCCGGGGCUUAACCCCGGGUCUGCAGUCGAUACGGGCAGGCUAGAGUUCGGUAGGGGAGAUCGGAAUUCCUGGUGUAGCGGUGAAAUGCGCAGAUAUCAGGAGGAACACCGGUGGCGAAGGCGGAUYUCUGGGCCGAUACUGACGCUGAGGAGCGAAAGCGUGGGGAGCGAACAGGAUUAGAUACCCUGGUAGUCCACGCCGUAAACGGUGGGCACUAGGUGUGGGCAACAUUCCACGUUGUCCGUGCCGCAGCUAACGCAUUAAGUGCCCCGCCUGGGGAGUACGGCCGCAAGGCUAAAACUCAAAGGAAUUGACGGGGGCCCGCACAAGCGGCGGAGCAUGUGGCUUAAUUCGACGCAACGCGAAGAACCUUACCAAGGCUUGACAUACACCGGAAASSWYCAGAGAUGGKSSCCCCCUUGUGGUCGGUGUACAGGUGGUGCAUGGCUGUC